ACGGUGAAUGACCACACGCAAAGUUGCACGUUGUAAAUAUACUAAGCCACCACGGACAAUGCUCGUGGUCAAUAUUGUUAGUUCUACAGCGCAUUUUUGUUAUCAACCACGGACAUAAUGUGUGGUAUAAUCAUACACAUAAUGAAAAAUAUUUAGAAAAGGCGAGACACCGAAUUUUUGGGAAAUUUCAAACAUCUUUGAGAUUUGAAAAUUUCACAAACUCUUUAAAUCUCCAGUCGCUCCUUUUUAUUUCUAAUCAAAAUCCUAUGGCACCAGGGAUCCGAUCCAAAUUAAAUUGAAUCGCCAAAUGGGAAAAAAAAAGGCUCACAAGAUAGAAAAUGGGGCAAGAACAGAAUCUCAUCACUAAAUGGGAAGGCUCUAUUGACUGGAGAAGCCGACCUGCAAUCAGAGGUCGCCAUGGCGGCAUGCUUGCCUCCUCCUUUGUGCUAGGUAUGUGUCUUCCUUGUGCUGCAAUCAAGGAUCACCAUGGCGAUUAAUUCUUACUUCAGUAGAGUUCGAAAAGGAAUUAAACAUUAUAAAGUAUGGAAGCAGUUUGGGUUGCAAAAUACGUGAGUUCAGGAAAAGAGACAUUAUUGUGACGAGGAAAACGUGGAGCAGUUAUGUAUUUGGAGAUAAAGGCAGAGAGAAAAGGGGGAGAAGAAGGGAGACGUGCGGUUUCCCUCCUUUUACAUUUCAUUUAUUUUAUUUUGUGUUUUACAUAUUUAUUCUUAAUCAUAAUCUAUUUGAAUUGAAGUGAAGUGAUUCUUACCACAAUUUUCUGCAAUUUUGGUUGACAAAGAACCUUAUGUUAAUAAAUAGUAUAAAUUUUCCUAAUUAUCAUAUUGAUUUCCUUUUCGGUUUUGGUUAUUCUGUAAUUUAUUAUAUUGUAAUAAAUAUGAAAU